rnacentral:rRNA from 1 species
CCUACGGGCGGCAGCAGUGAGGAAUAUUGGUCAAUGGGAGGAAUCCUGAACCAGCCAUGCCGCGUGCAGGACGACGGCCCUACGAGUUGUAAACUGCUUUUGUACCGGGGUAAAUUGCUCUACGAGUAGGGUUUUGAAAGUACGGUACGAAUAAGGAUCGGCUCACUCCGUGCCAGCAGCCGCGGUAAUACGGAGGAUCCGAGCGUUAUCCGGAUUCAUUGGGUUUAAAGGGUGCGUAGGUUGUUUUAUAAGUUAGCGGUGAAAGACAGAUGCUCAACAUCGGGGCUGCCGCUAAUACUGUAGGACUAGAGAACGAAUGCAGCAGGCAGAAUGUGUAGUGUAGCGGUGAAAUGCAUAGAUAUUACACAGAACACCGAUAGCGAAGGCAGCUAGCUAGGCCGGAUCUGACACUGAGGCGCGAAAGCGUGGGGAUCGAACAGGAUUAGAUACCCGUGUAGUC